rnacentral:rRNA from 1 species
UUAUUGGGCGUAAGCGAGCGCAGGCGGUCUUUUAAGUCUAAUGUGAAAGCCUUCGGCUCAACCGAAGAAGUGCAUUGGAAACUGGGAGACUUGAGUGCAGAAGAGGACAGUGGAACUCCAUGUGUAGCGGUGAAAUGCGUAGAUAUAUGGAAGAACACCAGUGGCGAAGGCGGCUGUCUGGUCUGCAACUGACGCUGAGGCUCGAAAGCAUGGGUAGCGAACAGGAUUAGAUACCCUGGUAGUCCAUGCCGUAAACGAUGAUUACUAAGUGUUGGAGGGUUUCCGCCCUUCAGUGCUGCAGCUAACGCAUUAAGUAAUCCGCCUGGGGAGUACGACCGCAAGGUUGAAACUCAAAAGAAUUGACGGGGGCCCGCACAAGCGGUGGAGCAUGUGGUUUAAUUCGAAGCUACGCGAAGAACCUUACCAGGUCUUGACAUCUUCUGACAGUCUAAGAGAUUAGAGGUUCCCUUCGGGGACAGAAUGACAGGUGGUGCAUGGUUGUCGUCAGCUCGUGUCGUGAGAUGUUGGGUUAAGUCCCGCAACGAGCGCAACCCUUAUUACUAGUUGCCAGCAUUAAGUUGGGCACUCUAGUGAGACUGCCGGUGACAAACCGGAGGAAGGUGGGGACGACGUCAAAUCAUCAUGCCCCUUAUGACCUGGGCUACACACGUGCUACAAUGGAUGGUACAACGAGUCGCGAGACCGCGAGGUUAAGCUAAUCUCUUAAAACCAUU